rnacentral:rRNA from 1 species
GACGAACGCUGGCGGCGUGCUUAACACAUGCAAGUCGAACGGAAAGGCCCUGCGUUUGUGCGGUUCUCGAUUGGCGAACGGGGGAGUAACACGUGAGUAACCUGCCCUUGACUUUGGGAUAACUUCAGGAAACUGGGGCUAAUACCGGAUAGGAUCUCCUGCUGCAUGGUGGGGGUUGGAAAGUUUCGGCUGUUGGGGAUGGACUCGCGGCUUAUCAGCUUGUUGGUGGGGUAGUGGCUGACCAAGGCUUUGACGGGUAGCCCGCCUGAGAGGGUGGACGGGCACAAUGGGCCUGAGAGACGGACCAGACGCCUACGGGAGGCAGUAGGGGGGAAUAUGGCACAAUGGGCGGAAGUCUGAUGCAGAAACGUCGCGUGCGGGAAGACGGCUUUUGGGGUGAAAACCGCUUUCGACUGUGACGAAGCGGGAGUGACGGUAAUGGGUAAAGAAGCACCGGCUAACUACGUG